rnacentral:rRNA from 1 species
GGCGGAGCUUGCUCUGCUGGAUCAGUGGCGAACGGGUGAGUAACACGUGAGCAAUCUGCCCCUGACUCUGGGAUAAGCGCUGGAAACGGCGUCUAAUACCGGAUACGAGCUGCGAAGGCAUCUUCAGCAGCUGGAAAGAACUUCGGUCAGGGAUGAGCUCGCGGCCUAUCAGCUAGUUGGUGAGGUAACGGCUCACCAAGGCGUCGACGGGUAGCCGGCCUGAGAGGGUGACCGGCCACACUGGGACUGAGACACGGCCCAGACUCCUACGGGAGGCAGCAGUGGGGAAUAUUGCACAAUGGGCGCAAGCCUGAUGCAGCAACGCCGCGUGAGGGACGACGGCCUUCGGGUUGUAAACCUCUUUUAGCAGGGAAGAAGCGAAAGUGACGGUACCUGCAGAAAAAGCGCCGGCUAACUACGUGCCAGCAGCCGCGGUAAUACGUAGGGCGCAAGCGUUAUCCGGAAUUAUUGGGCGUAAAGAGCUCGUAGGCGGUUUGUCGCGUCUGCUGUGAAAACCCGAGGCUCAACCUCGGGCCUGCAGUGGGUACGGGCAGACUAGAGUGCGGUAGGGGAGAUUGGAAUUCCUGGUGUAGCGGUGGAAUGCGCAGAUAUCAGGAGGAACACCGAUGGCGAAGGCAGAUCUCUGGGCCGUAACUGACGCUGAGGAGCGAAAGGGUGGGGAGCAAACAGGCUUAGAUACCCUGGUAGUCCACCCCGUAAACGUUGGGAACUAGUUGUGG